rnacentral:lncRNA from 1 species
GCUAGGCCGUGGCUGCUGGAAUACUGCGCUGAGCCGCCCAUGCAGAGCGUGUAUAGGAGACAAGCUGCAGCUGAUCGUCUGCUAGCCACGUACGACGCAUCGUGUAAGCCCGGCGACAAGUGUAUAUGCUGCCACGACGCUACCGCGACGCUGCCGCGACUUGGCUUGACGCUGCCGUGACUCUACCGCGACGCUGGCGUGACGUUGUCGUUCAAUUGUCGUAACGCGGGUGCAACAUUACGUGACGUUGUUGUUAAAUUGUCGUGAGACUGUCGCAACUUGACGUGACGUCAUUGUGCUACCGUACAAAGCAGGAACACAGAGCAUAGAUGAAGGGCCGACGUUGUCGACAAACAUGUGUGUAACGACAAUUGGAAUUGUCGUCGUUGUUACCGGAGAAACGGACAUCGUUCGCGACGCCGACAGAGCAUUGAGAUGUGCUGCACAGCGACGUGCCGUAGGGUUUUAAGUGACGCACUCGCGCAUGCGAGAAGGUGUUGACGCACCCGCGCACGCACUCUGUUUUACACGCGCUCGCCUAUACAUACGUACGUACGCACGCACGAAUACACGCACACCCACGCACGCACUCUCUCUUUCUCAUACCCGCCUAAUAAGAACGAGUACACGCACACCCACGCAGGUAGACACGGACGGACGCACGCACACGCACGCGCAUGUACACGCGCGCACGCAUGCACGCACGCCUGCUGUCGUGCCGAGUGGACUUGCUGCUUUCCGAAACAGCUUUUUACUGGAGACGACACGUUUCGCGUUCUGCUACAGAUGGGAGCUGGCAUCGGAUCGAAGUGUGAGCCUUCACGAUUAGAUUGCAAAUGCCUUGGACGAAUUUGUGCGCAUACGAGCGAACAGAACUCGCACGAGAGGGAAAAAGAGAGCGCGGGGGAGAGAGAUAGGUUGCUAGAAUCUCACACGCGCGAACACACGCACACAAAUCGCAGAACGCAAGGGAAUGAGUAGCAGAAGUUGGUGAGGAGACGUAUUACACCCCGGCUAUGAGCAGCGGAGACGUCAAGGAACCCGCACUAUACUUCACCGACGUCAAACUGCAUCGGCUUGCAAAACUGCAUGCACGCUUGAUUAGCUGAAGCAGUGGAAUCGAGGGAGGCACGGGCUGUCUAUAGAUCGGCAGGAACAACGCCACUGCUGCGAAAUGCCAGCCUACCAGCCUGCAGUCUGCACCGCCUCUCUCCGGGGAGUUCAGUUGAAUGCUCACGCCGUCGGAUGGACGCUAAAAGCCGCGGCAUUGUGAGACAGAAUGUUAGAUUAACUUUCGGCCACGCCGUGAACGCGCGGCCCCCGUAUUAUAGUAUAUUAUAGUUGCAGUCCCGCUCGACGUGUGUUGUGCGGUACAGCAUCGAAUGCUUUCAGUCCGUCGGCAAUAUAGAGAAAGGACGGUCGAAUUCUUUCUCGCCGUCCUCCCUCUCAUUGCGAGGCUAUUAGAGGACGCUUGCAGUACUAUUAGCGUUUUAUUGGUACCUAUUACCGUCUCAGCCGUGAUGCUGCCUGGUGGUAUGUUCUGGUCGUUAUACGACGGGGCACCCGUAUUUUAUCACCUGUCUCCGCGCUCUGUCGCGCCCGGACUAGCAUGGUCCAGCGGCUCUAAUUGUUUUCUCGUCACUCACGUAAUUUAAUUACUGUGAGGAUUUUAGUGGCGCUCCGUGCGCGCGGGUGUGUGUGUGUGUGGUCCGCGCGGUAAGUGUGUGGAGCUUACAUGGUGCACUAUGGUGCACAGGCAUUUGGAACAUUUCAAUAGUAAAAUGAUGGUAAAUAAACAGGAAAUGUAUUUACUA